rnacentral:rRNA from 1 species
UACGGAGGAUCCGAGCGUUAUCCGGAUUUAUUGGGUUUAAAGGGUGCGCAGGCGGGAGAUUAAGUCGGUGGUGAAAUUUUUGCAGCUUAACUGUAACAGUGCCAUUGAUACUGGUUUUCUUGAGUGUGGAUGAAGUAGGCGGAAUUUGUGGUGUAGCGGUGAAAUGCAUAGAUAUCACGAGGAACUCCGAUUGCGAAGGCAGCUUACUAAGCUACUACUGACGCUCAGGCACGAAGGCGUGGGGAUCAAACAGGAUUAGAUA